GCAUUUGUUUUGGGGGAUGAACAUUGACGAGGAGGGCAGGCCGGCAGACGAGGAGAUGCAACUGGUAGUGCGGCGAAUGCUGGAGGUCGCAUCAUCAGAAAGAAACAUUCAGAGAAGCUCCGUGCAGGACUUCU
rnacentral:ribozyme from 1 species